UGAUAUUGCAACAUUUUAUUUUUUCCAACACACACACACAUACACACACACAUACACACACACACACACACACACACACAGAGACAUCCAUUAAAACUCUGUGAUGAUAAUCCUAGUAGCAGAUCAUCCCUCUAAUUUAAGUGACACAAUGCACAAUAAUGGCAGCAAUGAGAAACAAGCCUGACUGGACUGAUGCACACUGAGCAACAGAGAACUGUGAAAUGUGUACAGUACCCGACGAGUAACGUCUGUGUUUUGUCUGUCAGUAGCUGUGACAGCCAGUCAUAUAGUACCCGACGAGUAACGUCUGUGUUUUGUCUGUCAGUAGCUGUGACAGCCAGUCAUAUAGUACCCGACGAGUAACGUCUGUGUUUUGUCUGUCAGUAGCUGUGGCAGCCAGUCAUAUAGUACCCGACGAGUAACGUCUGUGUUUUGUCUGUCAGUAGCUGUGACAGCCAGUCAUAUAGUACCCAACGAGUAACGUCUGUGUUUUGUCUGUCAGUAGCUGUGACAGCCAGUCAUAUAGUACCCGACGAGUAACGUCUGUGUUUUGUCUGUCAGUAGCUGUGGCAGCCAGUCAUAUAGUACCCGACGAGUAACGUCUGUGUUUUGUCUGUCAGUAGCUGUGACAGCCAGUCAUAUACAGUACCCGACGAGUAACGUCUGUGUUUUGUCUGUCAGUAGCUGUGACAGCCAGUCAUAUAGUACCCGACGAGUAACGUCUGUGUUUUGUCUGUCAGUAGCUGUGACAGCCAGUCAUAUAGUACCCAACGAGUAACGUCUGUGUUUCCCUCCCUGGUUCCAGCCAGUCAUACAGUACCCGACGAGUAACGUCUGUGUUUUGUCUGUCAGUAGCUGUGACAGCCAGUCAUAUAGUACCCAACGAGUAACGUCUGUGUUUCCCUCCCUGGUUCCAGCCAGUCAUACAGUACCCGACGAGUAACGUCUGUGUUUUGUCUGUCAGUAGCUGUGACAGCCAGUCAUAUAGUACCCCACGAGUAACGUCUGUGUUUUGUCUGUCAGUAGCUGUGACAGCCAGUCAUAUAGAACCCGACGAGUAACGUCUGUGUUUUGUCUGUCAGUAGCUGUGACAGCCAGUCAUAUAGUACCCGACGAGUAACGUCUGUGUUUUGUCUGCCAGUAGCUGUGACAGCCAGUCAUAUAGUACCCGACGAGUAACGUCUGUGUUUCCCUCCCUGGUUCCAGCCAGUCAUAUACAGUACCCGACGAGUAACGUCUGUGUUUUGUCUGUCAGUAGCUGUGACAGCCAGUCAUAUAGUACCCGACGAGUAACGUCUGUGUUUUGUCUGUCAGUAGCUGUGACAGCCAGUCAUAUAGUACCCGACGAGUAACGUCUGUGUUUUGUCUGUCAGUAGCUGUGACAGCCAGUCAUAUAGUACCCGACGAGUAACGUCUGUGUUUCCCUCCCUGGUUCCAGCCAGUCAUACAGUACCCGACCCUCCACACACUGGCUUUCUGCCUGCAUCCCAAAUGGCACCCUAUUCUCUAGGGCAGUGUUUGCCAACUCCGGUCCUCCAGUACUCCCAACAGCCCAACUCCGGUCCUCCAGUACCUCCAACAGCCCAACUCCAGUCCUCCAGUCCUCCCAACAGUGUUUUCCAACUCCAGUCCUCCCAACAGCCCAACUCCAGUCCCCCAACAGCCCAACUCCAGGCCUCCAGUCCUCCCAACAGUGUUUUCCAACUCCAGUCCUCCAGUACUCACAACAGCCCAACUCCAGUCCUCCAGUACCCCCAACAGCCCAACUCCGGUCCUCCAGUGUCCCCAAAAGUGUUUCCCAACUCCGGAUAGAAUAACCUCAACUAGGCUCUUCUGGCUCAUGUUACGCUCACUGACACACUCCAGUUACACAAUGAGUGGGUGGUACAUGGAGAAACAGAGUUGUUCCAGAAUGAGUACAUGGAGAAACAGAGUUGUUCCAGAAUGAGUACGUAGUACAUGGAGAAACAGAGUUGUUCCAGAAUGAGUACAUGGAGAAACAGAGUUGUUCCAGAAUGAAUACAUGGAGAAACACAGUUGUUCCAGAAUGAGUACAUGGAGAAACAGAGUUGUUCCAGAAUGAGUACAUGGAGAAACAGAGUUGUUCCAGAAUGAGUACAUGGAGAAACA
ensembl:lncRNA